UAAACGCAGUAACCUUGUCAUCCUAAUCAUGUUGUUUACAUAAUAAGUUUACCUUAAUUUCUCUUGAACUUGAAAGGCUACUGUGAGGUGGAGGUCAUGAUAUCCUCAAUCUCAAACCACAUUAAGGUCGACUGUGACUAUGGCACGUCCUUGACAUGAUAAAAAAAACAUAUUGGCUUUAUAAGUUUUUAGAAUAGAAUCUGUUUUCAAAUCGAGAUAUGAUCGGCACUCUCAAAAUACCCCUAUAUUGAGAAAUGAGAAAUUACAAACUAGUAAGGGCAGUUCUGACUGUCUGAACUAAUGUAGCAAGAUAUUAGAACAGCAAAGAGUAGGAGAAAUGGAGAAUGAUACCCUCAGACUCUCAGGAUAACCUUGUGUAAACUUAUUUUUAUUCUUUGGUGAUUAAAAAUGAGAAUCCUCUAUUCUUGAUUAUCUGCAUUAUUAAUUUUAGUUGUUGGUUCUCUCUAUUCUCAGACUCCCUCAACACCAUCAGUGACUCCUUCACCUAAGCCUACUCCCUCAACACCAUCAGUGACUCCUUCACCUAAGCCUGCUACCUCAUCAAAGUGGUGUGUGCCCAAAACUAGUGGCGUUUCUGAUGCUCAGUUGCAGGCAAAUCUCGACUAUGCUUGUGGCCAUGGAAUUGAUUGCAGCCCAAUCCAACCCGGAGGUGCCUGUUUUGACCCCAACACAGUAGCAUCCCAUGCUGCCUAUGCCAUGAAUCUUUACUACCAUACUGUUGGCACAGAUCCAAUGAAUUGUGAUUUCUCACAAACAGCAACACUCACCUCUACAAACCCCAGUAAGUUUCCCUAAAAUAUCUGUACUAUAUAUCUAAGAAAUAAUGCUAGUAUGCUACAGACACCACAUUACGAAUCAAACCAUGUGGUUGGUCAUAAUUAGUACAUGUCAAAUGUGUGAUCGACUAAAACGAAGUAAAUUAAGUCCACCAAUGUUUCAGCAUUUUCAUAUCUGAAUAACUCAUUUAUCAUGGAGGGGACAAGAUUUUUUUGAAGGACUAAUAAUGAUAAAGUAAAUGAUUAGAAAUCUAAAAGAGAAUGAGCUUUGUUGCUGCAUUUUCUUUUAGUUGCAUCAACUCUUCUAUAUGAAUCAUUCAUGCAUUACCAUGAUUUGAAACACCCUUUUUAUAAAGUGGUGAGUUUGUUUUCAAAGACUAAUAAUUGAAAAGGUCAAUUAUUAGAAAUCAAAGAGUAUGAGUUUUGUUGCUGCCAAACUAUAGCUUCAAGACAGAAACAUGUAGAGUAGAGUACGUAGGAAUGACUAGUUUCCAGGUCUAUCUACAGAAUCAGCUUGAUUUUGAUUGUGGACCUCUUUUAACUGUUUAGUUCACUUUGAAUUGUAGGUUAUAAUGCUUGUGUUUACCCUGGUGGAGGAAGCAGCAGUCUACCUGUGGCAGCGACGAAGAUGAAUGAGAUAUCAAAUGAUGGAUUUUCUAAGGUUAGAACAGGGUCAAGUAUAAGGAAUAAGAUCCUGGUGUACAUGUUUUUGUUUUUAAUUUAUAGCUUAUCCCUCUGAUUAUAAGGAAUGCUAGCUUGAAAGAGGGAUAUCUAUAAAUUAUAGGAACCAUUGCAGGAUAUAAAUAGAAAUUUAAAUGUACUUGUUAUCUGUGUCUUCCCCGCUCUCUAACCUAAAAAAUUUGGUCUGUAUGGAGUGUGUAUAUGUGACAACGGAAAUGUAAGACCUUGUCUUACAGUGUACAUUAUUCUGGAGAACCAAGGUAAGCCUACAAGGCAAUAUUGAAUCCGCUUAAACUUGGCUAAUAUAUGUUCUAUAAUUGUUCACGUAUAUGAUUCAAUCGUAUACAUCGGGAAGUUUUUUGAUAGAUCGUAUACAACAGGAUUGCUAUGGGUAAUUAUUAAAUCAAUCAAUUGUAUGACUCAAUCGUAUACACCGGGAUUGCUAUUGGUGUCGAUUAAUGUUUCCAAGAAUUUUCAAGCACAGGUUUACUCCCAUUCUAUAGCUGUAGCUGAUGAAUGAUGAUGACAAGUUGAGGAAGGGUCCGCUGAUAAAAUGACAUUUUGUGAUCAUGUGAUGUGUCUGGAAUCAUGAUUCAAGAGACUAAAGAGAGGGGACCACGAUUGUGUUAUUGUUUAAUUGAUGGCCACCUGAUCAGGUCGAUCGUCAAGAACAUACACUUAGUAACUGAGAAACGAAAAUAUAUAUACCUUAUAGGGACGGCACUUAACAAAUCAUCCAUUGUCGUCCAGCGGUUAGGAUAUCUGGCUUUCACCCAGGAGACCCGGGUUCGAUUCCCGGCAAUGGAAUUUUUUUGCUGGUUUUGUAGAUUUUGUCAAUUAUUCUAUUCGCAAUAAGGAAGGUCAACCUCUAUUUGCAACAGCUAGAAGAUUUUGCCUUCUAUUUACAACCUUCGAGUCUUCGACCAACUUUAACAGUUUUUCAUUUUUUUUUUUUUUGGCGAGAAUAUGCAAAAGUAAAUAUUGUUUCAAGACAGAAAUAUCACUUUGGUCAUCUAACUAUUGUUCCGUCGACAUUUUAGUCAUCGUACUUUUAAGAAGUUCAUUUUGGCCAUUCAAUUAUAUAGCCAACAAUUGAUAUAGUUGAAUGACCAAAAUGAAGUUCUUAAAAGUACCAUGACUAUAAUGUUGAACAGAACAUUGUUCGAUGACCAAAUUAAUAUUUCUGCAUUUCUCUAUUCCCUAUGUUUCAACUCCAGCUUAAUCCUAUUUUACAUUAAUCUUCAAAAUCUCCAUAUUUCUUCCUUAAAGUUUUGGAGAUUGCUGCAAAUUUAGGGAAUCUUGUUCUCUUUUCUCACAUUCUUUGUUUUAGUGAUAGCGCUUAUAUGGAAUCUAUUUGUGAGUUUUAUUUUUGCUUAAGAUAGAGAAAUGUCAAAUAUGGAAAGGCUAUUAUAGUUGCUCUUACAACGUAAUCUUUCUCAGCUGUAGAUGUAAUGUGGUUAGAGCAACUCCAACAUAUUCCUAUGAUUUAUGCAUUAUAAAGAAUCAAAAAGUUAAUACUUACUAAUUCACAUACUUCAACUACAUUACCUGUUUUACAACACUCUCUCAAAUCUUCAUAUAUCUUCCUUAAUAUUUUGAAAAUUGCUGUAAAUUUAGAAAAUCUCGUUUAGUUUUUCUCACUUUUUCUGUUUUAGAGAUUAGCUAUAUGAAAUCUGUUGGAGCAAAUGGUUUAUUUUAUCCUAAAUAGAGAAAACUCAAAUAUGAGGAAAUUGUUAGGGUUGCUCUAAGCUUCACAUUGACUGUGUCAAAGACACAUUCUAAUAACUUGGCGGAUUCAAGUAAUUGGUCAGGAUAUUCACUUUGUAGCAUAAAAAUUCGAUCAAACUUUGUUCUCUCAUGUAUUUACCCAUAUAUUUAAAGAAGUAAACUUUGUAGUGGAUCACAUUAUUUUUAUCAGUCAUUUUUAUUUUUCAAUCUUGAGCAUAUUGUCUACCUAUCUUUUUUUGUCAACCUUUUCACUUAUUAGAUAAACAAGGGAGAGCUUCCUAGAAAGGAUUACCUAGAAAUUUUUGUCUAUAAUUUCUUUCGACGGGUAAAAAUAAUUCAUUGGGAAGCACUUAGAAAAUAAGCGAAAAUUGUUUAAUACAUCGAGGAUGCUAGUAUCCCAUCAUCAAAGACUCAAAGUGUCAUAGUUCAACCGAUUUUGGUUCCGGGUUAGUUUUAGCAAGCCAACAAGGCCUUCUAAUUGUAACGGUAAGCAUUGCAGUGUUUCACAUGUCAGUCGUGACAUGAUCAAAAUUGACAAGUGGGAUCGAAUAUGGGUCCCGUAGCCGUCAGUGAGUUACAAUUACGCUUGUGCCCCUGACGCUACGACUCACCAAGUCAUACCCUCUUCUUUCUUCUGCUUCUUCAAACUCUCUCUCUCUCUGCUCAUCUUCACAGACCUGUUCACAUCGGUGACCUGCUCUCACCUCGACCUUCCUCCUUCUCUGCCUCAAGUUCACAACUCCAGAACCGAAAUUGGAACAAGAACAAAACCAGGAAGCGAUGGAAACCCUAGCCCCGCUUUGAAUCGGAUGAUCGGAACCUGAGCUCGAAUUUCGCCGAGCAAUGUCAGUCGCCGAGCUCAAGGAGCGCCACGUGGCCGCCAGCGAGACGGUGAACUCGCUCCGGGAGCGGUUGAAGCAGAAGCGAGCCUCCUUGCUCGACACCGAUGGUAGUAUUCAAUCAAUUCAUUUCUAUUUACCAGAAAUAGAGAUAGAGAUUUAGAAAUGUUGUUUGAUUUUAAAGUCUAAUUGGUCAAGUGUUGCAGUGGCUGGAUAUGCAAGGUCUCAGGGGAAGGCUGCGCUCACUUUCGGCCCCACCGAUCUUGUUUGCUGCAGAACCUUGCAGGGUCAUACCGGAAAGGUAUUCACCUUUUAAUUCUAUUAAUGUUAAACUGCACAUUUUCCAGGGGUUGAAUGAAUUAUUAGGAUUCGAUUUUGCGAAAUGUGCCAUCUCAGCUUUAAAUUUGAGAUUUUGAAUGUGUGAAAAUCGACAUCGUUAGCCGAGUGAUUGGGAGAUUCAGGGCUACUUAUUUACAUACAAGGAAACUAGAAGAAAAGUGAGAUGUUGAUCAAGGUUAAAUGUAUCAAUGGGAGUGAGCUAACAAUUUAGGACAUUUUAGAUAGAUGAAAUAGUGUUUUUAGGUUUGUUAAAGUAGAAUGUAUCAUAGGAAUAGAUAUUGGAAACAUAGGUCAAGUCUAUGGAUAAUUAGUCCAACCAAAACCGAAGAUUUGCAACAGUUACUUAAGAUCACGGUGAAGGACUUUCGAAGGGUAAACCCAAUUGAAACACAAAACAUUGCUCUCUCAUCCAUCAUAGUUCUUAACAGAUCAAUGUUCCUAUCGAAACCCACUAUAUCUAUAUAUCAUUAAAAGAAGCCAUGACCUGUUGGUUAUGGAUCUACGUCUACCUAUGCUUAUUUUAAUUAGGUUAUUUUGAUUCGGUUCUAGAAGGUUAAAAUUGCCUGUUUAGUAAAUGGUUAGUGUAGAGAGCAACUUUUCGGGUGUUAAUGGAGCUAGACAUGGAGCCCUUGCUUGUUUCAUGGAAAGGAAAGUAAUUCCUUUGCCUUUCCUGUGGGAUGGUAUAUGAAUGAAGUUUUGUGGAAGUUGAGUGAAUAACAAGUUAUUUAGUAAUACCUAGGUAAUUCAGUAACAGUUGCACAUUUGUCAAAGGAAACUCUUUUUAUUCCUUCCCCCCUCCCUAACACCGUAGAUUGUGUAUAGCUCCAUUUCCUUUUUGUUUUGUCGCUUUCCGAAUGUUAAGCGGAAGCGUAAACAAACCGAAUAUUGAAUGGAACAAAUAAAAGAAAAGGUAGACAAGGACACAGAAUUUAUAGUGGUUCACCCAAUCAAUGUGAUUGAGCUACGUCCACUUUCGAAGCCGGCGAAAAUUUCCGCUAUGACAAUUGGAGAGAUUACAAUAGAGUAUGGUGAUAAUACUCUCAACAACCCAAAACCCCCAAUACUACUCUUCCAUGUUGAUAGAGAAGACAACUGCUCUAGGUUAAUCUUUGCUCUCUCAUGCCAACAAACUGAUGGCGGCAACUCUCGAUAUAUAUCUCUAAUUAACCUAGGUUUAUAACACCCGCGUGAUCAAGGUGGGCUUCUCCAAUAUUGGGUUUUGUCCAAUAACAAUUAUAAGCCAAUAUUUAAUACCAAAGUAGAAAGGCACAUUAGUUUUUUUGUUUUUUUUUCUCACAUUAAUUAUCAUAGUUGUGAAUUGUGAUGCACCUUUAUGAAGAUGAAUUUAUAUCUGUCAGUAGAUAGUGAUGAGUUUAUUAAGCACAAAGACUAUUGCAGGUGUAUUCAUUAGAUUGGACUCCAGAAAAGAAUCGAAUUGUUAGUGCAUCCCAAGAUGGGAGGUUGAUAGUCUGGAAUGCACUAACAAGUCAGAAGACUCAUGCCAUAAAGCUGCCUUGUGCAUGGGUCAUGACUUGUGCUUUUUCACCAACUGGUCAAUCUGUUGCUUGUGGUGGUCUGGAUAGUGUUUGCUCUAUAUUCAACUUGAGUUCCCCGUGCGACAAGGAUGGGAAUCUGCCGGUGUCAAGAACGCUUAAUGGGCAUAAGGGUUAUGUUUCUGCUUGCCAGUAUGUUCCAGAUGAAGAUACUCACCUGAUUACUGGAUCUGGUGAUCAAACAUGCGUCUUGUGGGAUAUUACUACCGGACUCAGGACUUCUGUUUUUGGAGGCGAGUUUCAGUCCGGACACACUGGAGACGUACUGAGGUACACUAUUGCAUCAGGUUCUUGAAUGUGAUUGUAUUAAAUGAACACAUGCAUAUUGUUGAGAACAAAUUAACCAUUUUUAUUCAAUACACAUUAUUUCCCAGCAUUAUAAGUCAAUGCGUAUGCACAAAAGUGUUUCAAGUCAUCUUAAUAAUUUUGAUGCUGUAAAAUUAUAACUCAUAAAAUUCUUCCUUUUAAUUAACGACAGUUCUUGUUCUAGCAGUUCCUAGUUUUAAUACUGGCAGAAAUUUCUUUUCAUAUUCAUGUCAUUGAUUUUACAAAUGGCAGUGUUCGGUCUAAUUGAUUAGUGCGGUAAGAACUGAGAAGCUGUGAGUAAAUUUCCGGUUAUCCUUGUUGAAGGCUUGUCUGGUUCAGGGUAGCCCUUUACUUAUGGGUUUCUCUUAGAAUGGUCGUUUGUGAUGACGUUCUUGUUGGUUAUUGAAUUAUUUGAUCCUGUACCUGACAUAAGUUAAUCCUGAAAGACCAAUCCUGGUUCAAGGUAGCCUUUUUACUUAUGGGUUUCUCUUAGAAUGGUCGUUUAUGAUGAACGUUCUUGUUGGUUAUUGAUUUUGAUCCUGUACCACACAUAAGUUAAUCCUGAAAUAUAGAAGAAUAUUCCAUAAAACCAUAAUAUUUCCUUGUUGUCUUGUAUUAUUUUCCCAUCAUGAAUACGCUAAAUGUGACAUCCACCUUGGUGAUGGUGACUUGAUGUGACAAGUAAUGCUCUUUACAUUGUUUUCAGUGUCUCCAUCUGUCAAACCAACUCAAGAAUGUUUGUGUCUGGUUCUUGUGACGCAACUGCGCGAUUGUGGGACACUCGUGUUGCAAGUCGAGCAGUGCGGACUUUUCAUGGUCAUGAGGGAGAUGUCAAUGCAGUGAAGUUCUUUCCAGAUGGCAAUAGAUUUGGAACUGGGUCAGAUGAUGGAACUUGUAGGUUAUUUGAUAUAAGGACUGGGCACCAACUCCAAGUAUACCAUCAGCAACAUGGUGAUAAUGAAACCCCACCUGUGAAAACCAUUGCAUUCUCAAUAUCAGGAAGACUUCUGUUUGCUGGAUACACAAAUGGUGAUUGCUAUGUAUGGGAUACUUUGUUGGCAAGGGUAUGUUUAUUUUGAAGUCAAUUUUUGUUCUUUAUUAUUUUCCGCACUUUACCCAUUAUACUUUCACAUCUCCAGUUAAGCCCACUUUACUGCGUAAGAAGUAAUAACUGCUGAUUUUGUAUGAUCAUGUUGUCAUGUUUAUCAGAUAUUUGCGAGUAAAAGGAUUUCAGUCAGCAUGUUUAUAUGGCAACUUCUCUAUUACAUACAAUCAUUUUUGUUUUAUGAGCAGUUAUGCAUAUAAUUGAUGUAUAAUCAGUGUCUUUGAAUAUAAAUUAAUUUGUGAUUGUAACAUAUUACUUCUAAAUCUGCAUUGGAUGAAUCAGUGGUAACAUGAUGUAAAUAAGUGAAUUGUUUAAGUUGGGAUGAGGUUAUCUGGAUCUAUAAUUGCUUGUUUCUUUUCUGCAUUCAGCGGACUUUUUUUUAUAGUUUAAAUCAACUGGCUCCAUUGAAUUCUGAUGAUCAUACAAAUAUUUUAUUGUCCAUGCACUUUGUGUCUCCUAGUUUGUUGCACUUGAUGUAUCUUAAUAUAAGAUUAAUUUCCAGGGGUGAAACAUUCAAGCAUUUCAUCUGUGAUAGCUAUUCGUUCAUCUUGGAUUGUCAAAAUUUCUCGGCUAGUUAUCUUGCCAUAUAAUCAUGUGAUGCCUAAGGAUUUUUUUCUUCUCUGAGAAAAUCUGAGAAUCCCUCUUUUUUUUUUUUUUUGGUUGGGGGGGGGGGGGGGGGGGGACUCCACCCCCCAUGAAGUCAUAAAUUUUUAUAUACCAAAUUAUCCUAGUAUUCUUACAAUAAUCCAAACAUCACAAAAUUUUCUGUCCUAAAUGGAGCAAGUGUCUCUAACUUCUGUGUUGUUCUGUGGCAGGUGGUUUUGAACUUGGGAUCUCUUCAAAACUCACAUGAGGGCCAGAUUAGCUGUUUGGGUUUGUCAGCUGAUGGAAGUGCAUUGUGUACUGGAAGUUGGGAUACUAAUUUAAAGGUUAGGCUCUUUCAUUUAAUUUGGGCACGCAAUGUACUUGGGAGACAACACCAUUUUUACUGAAUUCUUUGAUAUCACUAUUUUAUUUCCAUGUUGUCUUAGUUUUGGUACUUAAAAAGGUGGGAAACUAAGGCAGUGUAUAUCAACGUUUAGGGUUUGCUAUUUAUGGUACUUUGACCUGCAAUAUUUCCUUAUUUUUCUUUUCAAAGUUGUACCCUUUAUUUUACAUGCUUUUUUAUUUAUGAAUAAAUGUUACAUGCUAUUGGUCUGGUUCAAUUUCUACAUCUGUAAUAUCAUUUCCAAACUGGGUAGAUAAGGUUCUUCUAGUUUAUGCUAUGCUCUGAGAUUUAUGUUAUCCUGAAGAGUUUUAAGAACAGGACCUUCUGGUUUAGUAUGUCGAGGUGCAGUAUAGUGUUUCAAGCUUUAUAGUUACUAUGACUACGGAGCACUUAGUGAUCUCAUCUCAUUCGAGAUUAACUGUCAGCGAUUUGGUUGAAUAAAUGUGGUAUAAAAAGUAAAUGUGUCAACCAUACCAAAUAAGUUAAAUGCUAGAUAAUGAAAGUACUUUUCGGAUUGAUUGACCUAAGUUGUAUUCGUUGCAAGAUACUAUAGUAUAAUUUGUUUUUGUUGCAAAGCAUUAUGGUAUUAGUUGUCUUUUGUUGUGCUUUCUUCAUUGUGUUCUCAUCAAGCAAACAUGUGUUCCUAGUUAAGAAAAGAACAAUUUAUGACGUGUUUUUGUUUUGUGUUUGCGCUGCAGAUAUGGGCUUUCGGAGGGCAUAGGAAAAUAAUUUGAGCAGCAUAGUUCUCAUCUCAUAUUGUGUAACAUCAAUUUCAGCUCUUCCAACACCCAUUAUUCUCCUUGGUUCUCAUAGUAUAUCCUGUGUAGCUUUCUUUCUGUUGUUGAUCAAGUUACUCAGUUUGAGGAACUAGAUUCUAGUGUGUUGCUUGUUGUAACCCUCGAAUUGAAAAACUGACCAUUUUAAUAUUGGUAAAGAAGUAUACAUUUCUUUAUAUCUUUGUGCCGGAUAAACAGUCCAUCUGUUCUUUGCCCGUGUAUAUUUUGCCCUUGAUGCGUAGGUAUUCUCAUACCAAGUAGCCAACAACUGAUUUUUUCUUCCCUUGCUAAAUGGAAAUCUCUCCCUAUUAGCCAGCCCACUGGCUUGGGCGAAUAGUUUGACACUUGACUUGUGUUAGAUUGGAGCUUACAAGCACAAGUACAAUAUUUUGAGUACUAAAGUACAAAAAGACUUUCAACAGUAUUAACUGCUUCUAGUCUUUGUUUAGGUUAGUAUUGAGAGUCAAAUCUUGAAAAUUUAUUUUAUUUUGUCAAAACCCAAAAUUUGAACUUUAACAUCUUCAGUAAUGUUAUGCUACAUCAGAUUAACCAAAUAACAUUUUGCAAAAACUUCAAAGUUCAAAGUUACUUAUACCGCAAGAUUUGUUCUUUUACUCAGCUUCCAGAAAUUCAAGAUAUUUUACUGAGCCAUUGAACGAAUAUUUGAUUAUGUAUAGGUGCGUGGUUCAUGCACUGUCAAUUGGAACUGCAUACUAGCUGGGGCAUGAAGACUGCAUAGAUCAUCAAUCUGUGUUGUAUCCACCUGCAGACCUUCUACCUUGUUAGUUCCUUAUACUAGCCAGAUAAAUCAUUGUGGAUUCUCUCGAGGAACAAAUAUUCUUAUUUGGGGUGAUUUGGCUGUCAAUGUAGCAAACAUGCAUCUCCAAAAUGCAGAGUUCUGCAAACAUUCAUUCAAAGAACUUGUGAUUGACGAGAACAAUAAAAGAGUGUAAUCUGUACCAUCUAUACAAUGGUAAUUCUUCAAUACUUCUUUUCUCAGAAGAUUAGCAGAGCCGAAUUGACUAGAUAGUAGAGUGCAUUCAAACUCAUAAACUCACCCAAGUAAAUUGAAUGAGAACAAUAUAGUGUGCUUUAUAUUUUUUAAGAGUACGAGAUGUAAAGUAGAGGACAUGCUCAGGUUUCGGGAUUUUAAGAAACAAAAACGUUGAAACAGAAUAACGGAAGUGAAAUACAGUUUCUGUAUAUGUUGGACAUGCAACACCAUUUACGAACGGAAAUGGGGAAGAAAACAAGGAUAUACAGAAGUAAACCAACCCUCUUAUGAAUAAACUCCACACUCCACAGUGAGCUUAUGUGAACUGUCAGAUUAGACAGAUACAGGAAGAAAUAGUAAAAUUACAGAUUCUGUAUUGCUGAUUCAGAAGGAAGACAUUAGAAGACUUCAGAGUCACCUUGAUCAUAAGCUCAUAACCAAAAUCUUGAUAUGCUCAGAAAUAAGCAAAAUCUUCAAAAGCAAUCAACAGUUAAACUCUCUAUCUUGAAAAAUGAGAAAAAAGUGCAGGUUCGAUUGGGACCAGCCUAGCGGGUCAAGGUGGAUCCGGGUGGCACCGACCCGUUAUCCUCCAACUGCAAAGAGAGGGAAGUGAUCGCUGCUCUGUGAAACCAGCCUCACGCAUUGCCCUCCUCUUUAGGAACCAUGAAGCCCCGAGCCUACGCCCAAGCCACAUAGCCCAGCUCCUUGCUUGGGACCGGGCGGGUCAGAACAUAGCCAUUCCGAACCCGACCCGCUAAUGCUGAACCAAAGUUCCAACACCCACACGCCCCCACUUGGGUCAUAAGCUCGCGUGACCAAGCUCGGCGAUAUAUGUGGCUUGUCAUUUCUAUAUAAGGAGCUUUACCUCUAUAACAUUCAUGAUGUGGGAUCCUAUUCACUUGCUAGCAGCCUACCUCUUCAGACUAUGAAUUUUGUGAUUUUGAUGCCUCUUUACAAGCUCAAAUACCAAAUCAAAAGAAUGAAAUGAAGGAAUACUUUGGUGGAUAAGUGAUUCAAAUCGGAUGAAUGAGUGUAGAGGUUCUUUUCAAAUAACAUUAGAGAAUGUAAACAAACAUUGAGCUAGCUGGAAUAAAGAGCUUUAAUCUCCUUAAAUUUUUUCGAUCGCUAUCUACUCUAUAUCCAGAGUGUUAUUGUCGUGUUGAUGGAAUUCCUGUUAUUUUUCCCAUACCAUUUGUUUUACACCUCAAUGCCUCAUAGAUUUGCAUAAAAAAACAUUGUCUGAAGUCUGAACAUCAAGGAAUCAAGACAACAACUUACUAUACAUGCAUGUGUGUGCAUAUACAGUUGGUCUCUCUGUAUUGUUUACCUUACAUAGUGACUACGUAGACUAGAGGUCUUUAUGAAAUAUCAUCAUUUCAGAUACGAAAACAGUUCUAUAAGCACAACAUCUUCGAUUCAUUCCAGAUUUUUAAGUACUGUAAUUGAAUUAUAAACACUCAUCGAUCAAAAGUGAACAACACUUCAUGAAGAUGUAUAGCUGAAUUGUCCAAGGGACUAAUGAGAGAAAAGUUUCCAUUGAUUGCCAAAGCAAGGAGCUAAAAAUCUACUACUUCCUAUAACUUUAAACAAAAAGCAAGGAUUACCACUAAAUCGACAUUCACAACAUCAGCCUGUCUUUUUAAUCAGUCGCAAGCAUUUUCGUGAAUUAGAAACUGACUUUGUUCCAUUUGGAUGAAGAAUGAAAGAGAAGAUCGAAAAUGUGCGACAAAUGUACUUGAAACUAAAACUAGCCCUCCACAAAAUAAACAAACUAUACAUGGACACUAUGUAAGGCUUCUAUGGCGAACUGUACCUAAGUACAUAGGCUGUGUCAUCCCAAGCCUAUUAUCACAAAGCUUAGAAGCAAGGUUCUGGUAUUGCUUAAGCAAGGUCCACAACUGAGAAAUGUUACUCUUUAAGAAUAUCCACAUUAUUGGCAAAACAUAAAGGGUAGACGAUCUUACUACUAAGUACCAACAAACAAAUGCUUGACAAAGUUAAUGGCAGCUCAAACAGAAUCUGAAUGGGAAAACAUACCCUUUAGUGCUAACCCUUUUCCUUAAAGAUGAAGUUGAGAGUUGGUGUAUAUAGUUUAGCUUCACGUAGCUCUCUUACCACGAUUAAGCAAUACAGUCUAUACAGAAUUAUGUAUUAUGUACUUCACCUGCUCUCUUCCUAUUCAAGCUGACUUAUAACAUUUUAAGUCCCUAUCCCAGUCCGUAUUUUGCUUACAAGUUUUAGUAUGCAACUUCUGCAGUUUCUACCUACUGUUGAAAACACCACCUCCAUCUUACAAACUGGUAGUUUAUUCGAUAUUCAGAUCUAUAAAACAACUAGACCUUCAUCAAUCAUGUCACACCAACAUUCUUGACCUUUCCACACAAGUACAAUUGGCUUCAAAAAUGGCAAAAACCACCAACCUCUGCUUCUGUUCUUUACUUCCCUUCUUAUGUUUAGUUGCAUUCUUCUUCAUUCCAGCCAAAGCUGCUGUCAAGUCAUACCAAUUCAACGUGAGCACUGCACGAAUGCCUGAGCCUCCUCUCUACUGCCUUUUUUUUUUCUUUUUUUUUUUUUUUGUUAGAGAUUUAACAUAGCUUGACUAUUUUUUUUUCCCAAUUAUUUAUAGAUACAAGUGAAGAAUGUGAGCAGGUUGUGCCAUUCUAAGCCAAUUGUUACAGUAAAUGGGAUGUUCCCAGGACCUACAAUUUAUGCUAGAGAAGGAGAUACACUUCUAGUUAAUGUCACCAAUCAUGCCCAGUAUAACAUGUCAAUUCAUUGGUAAGACAUGAUUAUAAAUGCAAAUGACUAUUAUGACAACAUUAAGUAUCUAUGGUCAUAAUUGUGUUUAUAAUGUACGAUUUGGUAAUCUUGCAGGCAUGGACUAAAGCAAUACAGGAAUGGCUGGGCAGAUGGACCUGCUUACAUAACACAAUGUCCAAUCAUGACAGGAAAUACUUACACCUACAAUAUGACAAUCACAGGGCAAAGAGGAACCCUAUGGUGGCAUGCUCACAUCUUUUGGCUACGAGCCACUGUCUAUGGAGCUAUUGUCAUUCUUCCCAAACAAGGGACUGGCUUUCCUUUUCCUCAGCCUUACAGCGAAACUAAUCUUAUCUUAGGUGAGUUUGAACUAUUGGCUUACUGUUGGCUCUCAUAGUUAAGUGCCUUACACCUGUUUCUUGUACUAGAAGAUAUUCCCCUAUAUAUCUAACUGCAAUGUUUCUUUGUAUGGUAUAGGAGAAUGGUGGAAUAACGAUGUUGAAGAGGUUGUGAAACAAGGAAACAGACUGGGAUUGCCUCCGAAUAUGUCAGAUGCUCAUACCAUCAAUGGGAAGCCAGGGCCUCUCUUCCCAUGUUCCGAAAAACGUAAGCCACAUUGCCAUAGGUUAUGUUCUCUUGCCAAAUGUUUAUUACCUUUAUCAUAUUGUCAUAAUAUGAAUCUGAGCCAUGUCUAGUUAUCUACAUUCAAAUAAAAUUUGAUCUAGACGAUACUUGAGGUUUAUAAUUACAACAACACAACAUAACAUGUUACAGUGAUUUGGGAUUCUCAUUAGUUGUCUUGUUUGGCUAAUCCUCAGAUACCUAUGCCAUGG
rnacentral:lncRNA from 1 species